rnacentral:rRNA from 1 species
AAAGGAAUUGACGGGGGCCCGCACAAGCGGUGGAGCAUGUGGUUUAAUUCGAUGCAACGCGAAGAACCUUACCAGGUCUUGACAUCUGGCGAAUUCCUAUGAAAGUAGGAAGUGCCUUCGGGAGCGCCAAGACAGGUGGUGCAUGGUUGUCGUCAGCUCGUGUCGUGAGAUGUUGGGUUAAGUCCCGCAACGAGCGCAACCCCUGCUAUUAGUUGCUAACACAUAAGGUGAGCACUCUAAUGGGACCGCCUGUGACAAGCAGGAGGAAGGUGGGGAUGACGUCAAAUCAUCAUGCCCUUUAUGAUCUGGGCUACACACGUGCUACAAUGGAUGGUACAGAGAGCUGCGAAUCCGUGAGGCCGAGCGAAUCUCAAAAAGCCAUUCUCAGUUCGGAUUGUAGUCUGCAACUCGACUACAUGAAGUCGGAAUCGCUAGUAAUCGCGAAUCAGCAUGUCGCGGUGAAUGCGUUCCCGGGCCUUGUACACACCGCCCGU